AGUGAACGCUGGCGGUAGACCUAACACAUGCAAGUCGAACGGCAGCACAGUAAGAGCUUGCUCUUACGGGUGGCGAGUGGCGGACGGGUGAGGAAUACAUCGGAAUCUACUUUUUCGUGGGGGAUAACGUAGGGAAACUUACGCUAAUACCGCAUACGACCUACGGGUGAAAGCAGGGGAUCUUCGGACCUUGCGCGAUUGAAUGAGCCGAUGUCGGAUUAGCUAGUUGGCGGGGUAAAGGCCCACCAAGGCGACGAUCCGUAGCUGGUCUGAGAGGAUGAUCAGCCACACUGGAACUGAGACACGGUCCAGACUCCUACGGGAGGCAGCAGUGGGGAAUAUUGGACAAUGGGCGCAAGCCUGAUCCAGCCAUACCGCGUGGGUGAAGAAGGCCUUCGGGUUGUAAAGCCCCUUUGUUGGGAAAGAAAAGCAGCAGGUUAAUACCCCGCUGUUCUGACGGUACCCAAAGAAUAAGCACCGGCUAACCUCGUG
rnacentral:rRNA from 1 species